AUACUUACCUGGCAGGGGAGACACCAUGAUCAAGAAGGUGGUUCACCCGGGGCGAGGCCCAUUGCACUCUAGUUGUGCCGACUCCUGCAAAUUCCCCAAAUAUGGGAAUCUCGGCUGCAUAAUUUCCGGUAGUGGGGGACUGCGCCUGCACUCUCCCCUG